UACGUAGGGGGCUAGCGUUGUCCGGAUUUAUUGGGCGUAAAGAGCGUGUAGGCGGCCAGGUAGGUCGGUUGUGAAAACUGGAGGCUCAACCUUCAGAGGUCGACCGAAACCAUCUGGCUAGAGUCCGGGAGAGGAGAGUGGAAUUCCUGGUGUAGCGGUGAAAUGCGCAGAUAUCAGGAAGAACACCCGUGGCGAAAGCGGCUCUCUGGAACGGUACUGACGCUGAGACGCGAAAGCGUGGGGAGCAAACAGG
rnacentral:rRNA from 1 species